rnacentral:rRNA from 1 species
AGUGAACGCUGGCGGUAGGCCUAACACAUGCAAGUCGAACGGCAGCACAGUAAGAGCUUGCUCUUACGGGUGGCGAGUGGCGGACGGGUGAGGAAUACAUCGGAAUCUACUUUUUCGUGGGGGAUAACGUAGGGAAACUUACGCUAAUACCGCAUACGACCUACGGGUGAAAGCAGGGGAUCUUCGGACCUUGCGCGAUUGAAUGAGCCGAUGUCGGAUUAGCUAGUUGGCGGGGUAAAGGCCCACCAAGGCGACGAUCCGUAGCUGGUCUGAGAGGAUGCUCAGCCACACUGGAACUGAGACACGGUCCAGACUCCUACGGGAGGCAGCAGUGGGGAAUAUUGGACAAUGGGCGCAAGCCUGAUCCAGCCAUACCGCGUGGGUGAAGAAGGCCUUCGGGUUGUAAAGCCCUUUUGUUGGGAAAGAAAAGCAGCAGGUUAAUACCCCGCUGUUCUGACGGUACCCAAAGAAUAAGCACCGGCUAACUUCGUG